CGGACUGUGCAAAACGCCCAGUACCCCGCGGUCACCACCCGCGGCCGCGGGGUGGGACCGCGGGUCAGCUGUUCCCAAUUCCAGGGGUGUACCGCGGUCACCACCCGCGGCCGCGGGGCGGGACCGCGGGUUCCCUGAGUUUUGCCCACGUUUGAGCACCACGGGCGCGGGCCAUGACCGCGGGAAAAGAGCGGAGUCGCGUUUUUCAGCCCUUAAACCCCUUUCUCCCCCUUUUCCUCACAUUAUUCAUCAUCCCCAACCUCAUACUCACCCAUUUCCAUCUUCCCCAAUUCAUUCACACCAAACCCUAGCCUCCAUUACCACAUCUUUUACCAAGAUUGAAGGCAUUGAAGAGGAGAGAAGAUUGAAGAAAGCUCAUUAAUAGGAUUUGUCACUUCUUACUCUCUCUUUCAUUUAUGUAUUUCUUUGAUUUUGGUUUGUUGUUUGUGAACAUGUUUGGAUAAAAUCCCCCAUUGGUUUGGGGAUUAGGCUCAUGGAUGAUGUGAUGGAUUGAUUAUUAU
rnacentral:lncRNA from 1 species